AGCGAACGCUGGCGGCAGGCCUAACACAUGCAAGUCGAACGAAGCCUUCGGGCUUAGUGGCGGACGGGUGAGUAACACGUGGGAGCGUACCUUUUGGUUCGGAACAACUCAGGGAAACUUGAGCUAAUACCGGAUGAGCCCUUAGGGGGAAAGAUUUAUCGCCGAAAGAGCGGCCCGCGUUAGAUUAGCUAGUUGGUGAGGUAAAGGCUCACCAAGGCAACGAUCUAUAGCUGGUCUGAGAGGAUGAUCAGCCACACUGGGACUGAGACACGGCCCAGACUCCUACGGGAGGCAGCAGUGGGGAAUCUUGCGCAAUGGGCGAAAGCCUGACGCAGCCAUGCCGCAUGAAUGAUGAAGGUCUUAGGAUUGUAAAAUUCUUUUACCAGGGACGAUAAUGACGGUACCUGGAGAAAAAGCCCCGGCUAACUUCGUGCCAGCCGCCGCAGUAAGAC
rnacentral:rRNA from 1 species